AGACAGAGCAAGAAAUGGCUUUUCACAAUGUACGUUUUGCCUUGUCAAAGCUCCAUUUAGAAGCCUAUUAAUCUUGAAACAAGGGAUCCUAAUGUGGGGUUAUUGAUGAAAAAGAAGAUAAAACUAAAAGUACGUAGAUUGAGGAUAAGGACAGUGAAGGACUGUACGAUGAGAAUCUAGAGACCUGUAAAGUUGUUCUAAAAAGCUUUAUUAAAGGAACGAAGCUUCAACCAAUUGUUGCCAAAUUUGUGCAGCACAAAGGCACAAUAAUGGUAAGACGCGCAAUCAUCGGAUCCAUACUCGAUAAGCAAUGUAGCAUUGAAGAACAAUUAUUCCAAACGAUUCCUUUUGACAUAAGAAUCAGAAACAAUAAGAACAACGUAGUUUAAUAUAAUUUCUACGCACAUAUCAUCAACAUGUUGUAGAAAAGAAGGUGGUUUGUUAUUUUUUUUUAUUGUAGAAAUUAAGGGAUUAUUAUAAUGUUAAAAAUAUUUAUUCAAAUUACAUGUAUGUCUAAAUGAUUUGAAAACAUACUGUUGAUUACAAUAAAAAUGUUUUGAUAUGUCA
rnacentral:misc_RNA from 1 species